GCCAGGUGUGGUGCCUUGCACCUGUAGUCCCAGCUACUUGGGGGGCUGAGGUGGGAGGAUCACUUGAGCCCAGGAAGUCAGGGCUGCAGUGAGCUGAGAUGGUGAGGCUGCACUCCAGCCUGGGUAACAGAGUGAGACCCUGUCUCAA
rnacentral:SRP_RNA from 1 species